UACGUAGGGGGCUAGCGUUGUCCGGAAUCAUUGGGCGUAAAGAGCGUGUAGGCGGUCCGGUAAGUCCGCUGUGAAAGUCGGGGGCUCAACCCUCGAAUGCCGGUGGAUACUGUCGGGCUAGAGUGCGGAAGAGGCGAGUGGAAUUCCUGGUGUAGCGGUGAAAUGCGCAGAUAUCAGGAGGAACACCGGUGGCGAAGGCGGCGUCCUGGACCAACACUGACACUGAGGAGCGAAAGCCAGGGGAGCAAACAGG
rnacentral:rRNA from 1 species